rnacentral:misc_RNA from 1 species
AAGUCGUAACAAGGUUUCCGUAGGUGAACCUGCGGAAGGAUCAUUAUCACGUAUCCAAACGUAUAAACCCAAUGUGCACCUCAAAUUCCUCCUAGAAGUACUAGUGGCAGAGAAGUUGAUAUUCUGAUUCAUGGUCUUUCAGAAUUCUCUGUCGUGAUCUAAAACUUUAUUGUUUUAGUUCAGCCUUCUACUCCGGGAGUCGUAUCAAACCAUGCUUGUUUUACUAAACAACUUGUACCUUUCUGAACUAACUUUGGUUGGAAAAAACAAUAUCUUCGGAUGUUUGUUUUUGAUAACCUUGAUUUAUAUAAACUCUGAACUACUCUUAACAACGGAUAUCUUGGUUCUC